rnacentral:lncRNA from 1 species
GUCACACCUGCACUGAACCAUUCAUUUCCUCUAUUACAGUUUAUUUCCUCAUAUGGAGUGUAUAUAAGACAGAAAUAAAUUGAAAACUUAUCAAAACAUUUCUGUACACCGUUAAAUAACGAUACGCAUAUAUUCAAGGUAAGUUAUAUGUCUAUAAUGAAUUUAUUUUUCAAAAUAUAAUAGAUUAUAUUUUAAUGUAUGCAAUUAAUGUUUAAUUUAAAGAACAACAACGUCUAUCUUGUUAAAACAAUAGAUUCGCAGUAUAAGAUAUAUGAAUAAUGAUGAUGAUUAUGAUUUGAGCAUGAAAUAUUUCUAGCAACGUCAAAUCAUCUAAAAUCACGGAUUCAAAAGAUAUAAGAAUAGUCCUAAUCAGUUAAAAACAAUUCGAGGAUUAACAGAUAAAUGUCUUUUUCUUAAUACUAUAAUGUAUGGCAAUAAUACAUUUUCCAUGGUGAAUCCUGCAGAUAAGUGUUGCAGUCCUCGUUUAAAGCAUCAGAUAUAUUGGUUUCAAUUAUUUUUUCAUUUUUUAGUGACAUUUUCAAACCAAUCAAUUUUAGUUGCAUUUGUUUUAAUAUUCAUUCUAGGUAUAAUGGAAGGGAAAGCUGUUAUCAUUUUCUUUGGCUUUAUAGCAUGUGCUUUUGCUGGUAUGUAUUUUAUGACGUUAUAUAUUUUUAUUAUUGUUCAAAUGAGGAUUUAUACAAAGGAAUAAGUCAUGAGCAAUCAUUUUUAAAACUUUACAGACCAAAUUUUUGAAAACAAACUAUCAUAAGAUUCUUUAAAAAAAUGAUUAAAAUACAUGAAUGUUAAAAUUAACAUACAAACAAGGAUACAUCGUUUCAGCACUUGGCUUAUACGUUUACCAUUCCUCAUAAGGAAACAAUCGCAGAAAACAAGGAAAUUUGAAAUCAUUUAAGGAAAAAAAUUGUAAAAGGAAAAUAAAAAAUGACGGAUACAUAAAAUAAGAGAACCUUAUAUAUUGUAUUUAGAGCACAAAUAAAAUUAACGACCCAGUGGUAGUAAUAAAAUUAACGGUACCAAUUUUCUUGCACCAGAUGCGCAUUUCGAUAAUACAUGUCUCUUCAGUGAUGCUCGUGGCCAAAAUAUUUGAAUCCAAAGCUUAUAUAAAUGAUGAAGAGCUAUAAUCCAAAAGGUCCAAAAAGUAUAGCCAAAUUCGUGAAAGGAAUCAGAGCUUUUCAUGAGGGAGAUACAUUCUUUAAUUUAUAAUAAUUUCUAUCAUUUUGUAACAGCAAAUUUUUAUAACACAAAAAAAUCCGUAUUUUCAUGCCAGUACCGAAUUACUGGCUACUGGGCUGGUAAUACCCUCGGGGACUAAUAGUCCACCAGCAGAGGCAUCGACCCAGUGGUAGUAAUAAAAUUAACGGUACUAAUUUUCUUGCACCAGAUGCGCAUUUCGACAAUACAUGUCUCUUCAGUGAUGCUCGUGGCCAAAAUAUUUGAAAUCCAAAGCUUAUUUAAAAGAUGAAGAGCUAUAAUCCAAAAGGUCCAAAAGGUAUAGCAACAUCCGUGAAAGGAAUCAGAGCUUUGCAUGAGGGAGAUACAUUCCUUAAUUUAUGAUAAUUUCUAUCAUUUUGUAACAGCAAAUUUUUAUAACACAAAAAAAUCCGUAUUUUCAUGCCAGUACCGAAGUACUAGCUACUGGGCUGGUGAUAACUUCGGGGACUAAUAGUCCACCAGCAGAGCAUCGACCCUGUGGUAGUAAUAAAAUUAACGGUACAAAUUUUUCUUGCGCCAGAUGCGCAUCUCGACAAUACAUGUCUCUUCAGUGAUGCUCGUGGCCAAAAUAUUGAAAUCCAAAGCUUAUAUAAAAGAUGAAGAGCUAUAAUCCAAAAGGUCCAAAAAGUAUAGCCAAAUCCGUGAAAGAAUCAGAGCUUUGCAUGAGGAGAUACAUUCCUUAAUUUAUAAUAAUUUCUAUCAUUUUGUAACAGCAAAUUUUAUAACACAAAAAAAUCCGUAUUUUCAUGCCAGUACCAAGUACUGGCUACUGGGCUGGUGAUACCAUCGGGAACUAAUAGUCCACCAGCAGAUGGCAUCGACCCAGUGGUAGUAAUAAAAAUUAACGGUACCAAUUUUCUUGCACCAGAUGCGCAUUUCGACAAUACAUGUCUCUUAGUUCAGUGAUGCCUGUGGCCAAAAUAUUGAAAAUCCAAGCUUUAUAUAAAAGAUGAAGAGCUAUAUCCAAAAGGUCCAAAACUAUAGCCAAAUCCGUGAAAGGAAUCAGAGCUUUGAUGAGGGAGAUACAUUCCUUAAUUAUAAUAAUUUCUAUCAUUUUGUAACAGCAAAUUUUUAUAACACAAAAAAUCGUAUUUUCAUGCCAGUACCGAAAAGUACUGGCUACUGGGCUGGUGAUACCCUCGGGAUAAUAGUCCACCAGCAGAGGCAUCGACCCAGUGGUAGUAAUAAAAUUAACGGUACCAAUUUUCUUGCACCAGAUGCGCAUUUGACAAUACAUGUCUCUUCAGUGAUGCUCGUGGCCAAAAUAUUUGAAAUCCAAAGCUUAUAUAAAAGAUGAAGAGCUAUAAUCCAAAAGUCCAAAAAGUAUAGCCAAAUCCGUGAAAGGAAUCAGAGCUUUGCAUGAGGGAGAUACAUUCCUUAAUUUAUAAUAAUUUCUAUCAUUUUGUAACAGCACAUUUUUAUAACACAAAAAAAUCCGUAUUUUCAUGCCAGUACCGAAGUACUCAAACAUGGUUUUCUAUUGGUGUUAGUAAAUUAGAACAGCGGUUUUUGAUUUAAAAAAAUAAGUAAUAGAACAAAGAGUUCCAAAAAAAUAUCAUUUUUUUUUUUGGGGUUAUUGUUAGAGAAAAUGAAAAUAAAUCUAUUUUACCUUUUUGCUACGAGUAAAAAGCUUAUUUUACUUUCACCACUAACGCUGAAACUACGAAAGCACUUAUACUCUAUGCAAUAUUUAUAUCAAUAUUGCAAUGUAUAAUACACAUUUUGAUGGUAAAAAAUAUCGAAACUGAAUAAUAUUUAAAAUCUAAGCUACUUCAUUGAAGAGUCUUAUGUUGACGAAAAGCGCAACUGGCUUAUCAAAUUAUAAGCCUGGUACCUUUUAUAUUUUACGAAUGAUAAUUCAUAUUUCAACAUUUCUAAUUAAAAUUUAUUAUUACAGUAUAUUCACCCAAAGGCGGGAAAGUUUGUGAAAUUGAAUGCUCCAGUCAUUCAGAAUGUCUAGAUGGAUACAAAUGCCAAACCGAAGGAUGUGAUCGUAUGUGCAGACCUGGAAAAGUAAUUUUAUCUAAUGCAGUUGUCGGAUCAGACAUUAUUUCAGCUGGAUGCGUUCAGAGAUGUAUGGACCGAGGUGGGCUAGGUUGCAGAAGUCUUUGUCAGCGUAGUGCAGAUUUAUUAUCAGGAGGCCAAAUCAUUCGUAGUGGUUCCUUAGACAGUAGAUUCAAUGAUGCCUUAGUAGAUUCUAUUCGGCCAGAUAGUCUUGUUAGACAUACCUCGUCAUUAGGUGAUUCUAUUCGGUCAGGUAGUCUUGUUAGACAUAUCUCGCCAGUAGGUGAUUCUAUUCGGUCAGAUAGUCUUCUUGGACGUAUCUCACCAGUAGGUGAUUCUAUUCGAUCAGGUAGUCUUGUUAGACAUAUCUCGCCAGUAGGUGAUUCUAUUCGGUCAGGUAGUCUUCUUGGACGUAUCUCGCAAGUUGGUUCAAUUUUACAUAAAGGCUGUCAAAAUACAUGCAUUUCACGAGGCUGCAACUUCAACGAGGAAUGUGUCACACGAGAUGGAUGUUCUGUAUGUGUUCGUGCCAAGACCUACGCAUAAGAUAAGACAACAGAUGACAUAAUAUAUUGUGCAAUAUUUAAAUGAUAGUUAUCCAUUGAUCGUGAUAUUUUAUAAUUUUGUUUUGAUACACAAAUAAAGUAUU